rnacentral:piRNA from 1 species
UGUUACAAAAGAAACUGGUGUUCGUUA